GACGAACGCUGGCGGCGUGCCUAAUACAUGCAAGUAGAACGCACAGUUUAUACCGUAGCUUGCUACACCAUAGACUGUGAGUUGCGAACGGGUGAGUAACGCGUAGGUAACCUGCCUGGUAGCGGGGGAUAACUAUUGGAAACGAUAGCUAAUACCGCAUAAUAUUGAUUAUUGCAUGAUAAUUGAUUGAAAGAUGCUAUUGCAUCACUACCAGAUGGACCUGCGUUGUACUAGCUAGUAGGUGAGGUAACGGCUCACCUAGGCGAUGAUACAUAGCCGACCUGAGAGGGUGAUCGGCCACACUGGGACUGAGACACGGCCCAGACUCCUACGGGAGGCAGCAGUAGGGAAUCUUCGGCAAUGGACGAAAGUCUGACCGAGCAACGCCGCGUGAGUGAAGAAGGUUUUCGGAUCGUAAAGCUCUGUUGUAAGAGAAGAACGGGUGUGAGAGUGGAAAGUUCACACUGUGACGGUAUCUUACCAGAAAGGGACGGCUAACUACGUG
rnacentral:rRNA from 1 species